UACGGGGGGGGCAAGCGUUGUUCGGAAUUACUGGGCGUAAAGGGCUCGUAGGUGCCAGCUAACGUACGAGACGUGAAAUCCCUCGGCUUAACCGGGGAACUGCGUCUGAUACUGGAUGGCUUGAGUUGGUGGAGGAGGAUGCGAAUUCCAGGUGUAGCGGUGAAAUGCGUAGAUAUCUGGAGGAACACCAAUGGCGAAGGCAGCUCGCUGGAACGGUACUGACGCUGAGGCGCGAAAGCGUGGGGAGCGAACAGG
rnacentral:rRNA from 1 species